GACAGAGGUGCCAAGCGUUAGGCGGAAUCACUGGGCUUAAAGCGUGUGUAGGCGGAUCGUUAAGUGCUUUGUGAAAUCCCACGGCUCAACCGUGGAACGGCUUGGCAUACUGGCGAUCUUGAGCUGCCUAGGGGUCACUGGAACAAACGGUGGAGCGGUGAAAUGCGUAGAUAUCGUUUGGAACGCCCAAGGUGAAAACAGGUGACUGGGGGCAAGCUGACGCUGAGACACGAAAGCCAGGGGAGCAAACGGG
rnacentral:rRNA from 1 species